CGAUUAGCUUGAUUAUUACAUUAGGCAAAGACUGAUCUCUGACUAAUUCGCUUCGAGUUUCUGAAACAAUCCAGUUACAAGUUAAAAUUGAAACUCUACCAUGCUAAAAAUCUUCGAAGGAAGAAACUUCUAGUCCAGUUUUACGUAAGAUGGAACGAGUUCUUCUACGAUUCGAAAAUGUUAGAAGAAUCACGCAAAGUGACCUAUCGAAUGAAGAGGAAGAAAGGGAAGAGAGGGAAGAGGGUUAAUUUCCGCUCGAUCGAAGGGUCGUUGCUCGUCCUCGACCCGUCUUUGAAAUAAGGACACGCAAACAAGGACACAAAGCAAUCCAGUUUUCUCGUGAAUUCGUCCUUGACUUUUCACCUUUCAUUUUUUCACCGAAUUUUAAGAGAGGCGAAAGAAAAAAUUAGGUUAGAAGACCAAAAGAGAAAGUGUAAACGGGACAGAAAAAUUGGUCAGUCCAGGAAGUAGUCGGUGAAGCUCCAAUGCGAGACCAAGGAAGAAAAAAAAGAAGAAAAGAGAUUCGGCGGAUGGAAAGG